CUAGCUACAGCCCUACAUCGCCAGCUUACAGCCCGACCUCUCCGGCUUACAGCCCGACCUCUCCUUCCUACAGCCCGACAUCACCAUCCUACAGCCCAACCUCACCCUCCUACAGCCCAACCUCACCCUCUUACAGCCCGACCUCUCCUUCCUACAGCCCAACAUCACCAUCCUACAGCCCGACCUCCCCUUCCUACAGCCCAACCUCCCCUGCUUACAGCCCAACUUCACCUGGGUACAGUCCUACUUCCCCAAGCUACAGUCCUACUUCUCCAAGUUACAGUCCCACCUCACCAAGUUACAACCCUUCAUCCGCUAAGUACAGCCCCUCGUUGGCUUAUUCUCCUAGUAGUCCAUACAGCCCUACAUCCCCCAACUAC
rnacentral:lncRNA from 1 species